UACAGAGGUCUCAAGCGUUGUUCGGAUUCAUUGGGCGUAAAGGGUGCGUAGGCGGCGCGGUAAGUCGGAUGUGAAAUCUCGGGGCUUAACUCCGAAACUGCAUUCGAUACUGCCGUGCUUGAGGACUGGAGAGGAGACUGGAAUUUACGGUGUAGCGGUGAAAUGCGUAGAUAUCGUAAGGAAGACCAGUGGCGAAGGCGGGUCUCUGGACAGUAACUGACGCUGAGGAGCGAAAGCGUGGGGAGCGAACAGG
rnacentral:rRNA from 1 species